CCUACGGGAGGCAGCAGUAAGGAAUAUUGGUCAAUGGGCGCAAGCCUGAACCAGCCAUGCCGCGUGCAGGAAGACGGCCCUAUGGGUUGUAAACUGCUUUUGAACAAGAGAAAACCUCGGUACGUGUACCGAGCUGAUAGUAUUGUUAGAAUAAGCAUCGGCUAACUUCGUGCCAGCAGCCGCGGUAAGACGAAGGAUGCAAGCGUUAUCCGGAUUCAUUGGGUUUAAAGGGUGCGUAGGCGGACCGAUAAGUCAGUGGUGAAAUCUCUCAGCUUAACUGAGAAACUGCCAUUGAUACUGUCAGUCUAGAGUAUAGAUGAUGUGGGCGGAAUAUGACAUGUAGUGGUGAAAUACUUAGAUAUGUCAUAGAACACCGAUUGCGAAGGCAGCUCACAAAACUAUAACUGACGCUGAGGCACGAAAGUGCGGGGAUCAAACAGGAUUAGAUACCCUGGUAGUCCGCACCGUAAACGAUGAUUACUCGUUGUUGGCAAUAUGACCGUCAGCGACCAAGCGAAAGCGAUAGUAAUCCACCUGGGAGUACGCCGGCAACGGUGAAACUCAAAUGAAUUGACGGCGNGAGAGCGACGGACGACACGAGGAGGAGGAGG
rnacentral:rRNA from 1 species